rnacentral:rRNA from 1 species
CAUUCAUUGAGGAUGCAGUCCUUGGAUUGAGGCUGCACAUGUUUUUUUUUCUUGACCCAAGGCGUUAUUGCCUUCCACGUUGAGUGGUGCAAGGGGGGGAAGCUCAUGGUGCCAACUUGUGGGCUUUUUUUUUAAUCCUCAGAAGUGUGGUCAUUGAGGAUUGUUUUUACAUGUAUGAUAAGAUUGAGGGGUUGGCACUCAAUCUGUCUCUAAACCAUUUUUAAUGGCUUAUUUACAACUUUCAGCAAUGGAUCUCUUGGUUCUCGCAUCGAUGAAGAACGCAGUGAAAUGCGAUAACUGGUGUGAAUUGCAUCUAUGUAACUCUAAUUUACGAAUAACACCAAGUGAAUCAUCGAGUCUUUGAACGCAAUUGCGCCCUCUCGGUCGCUUCCAAUUGGGGGUUGACUCAUAGGGGGUACGUCUGUUUGAGGGUCAUUUGUACCUCUCAAAGGAUUAGUUUAGGCUGAUUCUUUGGAUUUGGGUCUUGCUGUGAACUUGUCUCAGCUUACCUUGAAAACAUUAGCAAGCUUUUUCUGAGUCUUUUCUAGAUGAGGCGUUCUAAACGUUUACGUCUCAAAGAAAAGGACUUGAGUCCUAAGCCUGCUUCUAAUCAUUGGGUCUCUAUAUUUUUCAAUGACCU